GACGAACGCUGGCGGCGUGCUUAACACAUGCAAGUCGAACGGAAAGGCCCUGCUUUUGUGGGGUGCUCGAGUGGCGAACGGGUGAGUAACACGUGAGUAACCUGCCCUUGACUUUGGGAUAACUUCAGGAAACUGGGGCUAAUACCGGAUAGGAGCUCCUGCUGCAUGGUGGGGGUUGGAAAGUUUCGGCGGUUGGGGAUGGACUCGCGGCUUAUCAGCUUGUUGGUGGGGUAGUGGCUUACCAAGGCUUUGACGGGUAGCCGGCCUGAGAGGGUGACCGGCCACAUUGGGACUGAGAUACGGUCCAGACUCCUACUGUAGGCAGUAGUGGGGAAUAUUGCACAAUGGGCGGAAGCCUGAUGCAGCAACGCCGCGUGCGGGAUGACGGCCUUCGGGUGGUAAGCCGCUUUCGCCUGUGACGAAGCGUGAGUGACGGUAAUUGGUAAAGAAGCACCGGCUAACUACGUG
rnacentral:rRNA from 1 species